rnacentral:rRNA from 1 species
CCUGGUUGAUCCUGCCAGUAGUCAUAUGCUUGUCUCAAAGAUUAAGCCAUGCAUGUGUAAGCACACACUGUGUUAAAAGUGAAGCCGCGAAUGGCUCAUUACAACAGCCACAGUUUAUUAGAACUUACUCUCAUGGAUAAACGGCGUUUGAUGAAUGUUGAACGUCGAAACUGUUUGGUGAAUCUGAAUAACUAUUUCUGAUCGCAUGGUCUAGCACCGGCGACAUCACUUUCAAGUGUCUGCCUUAUCAACCUUCGAUGGUAGUCUAUGCGACUACCAUGGUGAUAACGGGUAACGGAGAAUCAGGGUUCGACUCCGGAGAGGGAGCCUGAGAAACGGCUACCACAUCCAAGGAAGGCAGCAGGCGCGCAAAUUACCCACUCCCAGCUUGGGGAGGUAGUGACGAAAAAUAACGAGACGAUUCUCGUUUGAGAAACGUUAUCGAAAUGAGUACGCUUUACACACGCUAACGAGUAGCAAUUGGAGGGCAAGUCUGGUGCCAGCAGCCGCGGUAAUUCCAGCUCCAAUAGCGUAUAUUAAAGUUGCUGCGGUUAAAACGCUCGUAGUUGAAUUGUGGUCUUAGACAACAGUCCCCCUACAUAGGUGUGGCACGGUUGCUCGAGAUCUUCAUUCGUGGUUGCUGUUGUUGCUGUUGCUUGAGUGUCAAUGGUGCCUCGAGAUUUUACUUUGAAAAAAUUAGAGUGCUCAAAGCAGGUUGUGAUGCCUGAAUAAUGGUGCAUGGAAUAAUAGAAUACGAUCUCGGUUCUAUUUUGUUGGUUUUCGAACUGGAGAUAAUGAUUGAAAGGAACAGGCGGGGGCAUUCGUAUUGCUGCGUUAGAGGUGAAAUUCUUGGAUCGCAGCAAGAUGAACAAUUGCGAAAGCAUUUGCCAAGAAUGUUUUCAUUAAUCAAGAACGAAAGUUAGAGGUUCGAAGGCGAUCAGAUACCGCCCUAGUUCUAACGGUAAACUAUGCCAACCAGCGAUUCGCCGAAGUUCAUUUAAGACUCGGCGAGCAGCUUCCGGGAAACCAAAGUGUUUCGGUUCCGGGGGAGGUAUGGUUGCAAAGCUGAAACUUAAAGGAAUUGACGGAAGGGCACCACCAGGAGUGGAGCCUGCGGCUUAAUUUGACUCAACACGGGAAAACUCACCCGGCCCGGACACUGGAAGGAUUGACAGAUUGACAGCUCUUUCUUGAUUCAGUGGGUAGUGGUGCAUGGCCGUUCUUAGUUGGUGGAGCGAUUUGUCUGGUUAAUUCCGAUAACGAACGAGACUCUACCCUAUUAAAUAGUGAUAGUAUUGUAAUUUUUGUGCUGAUCACUUCUUAGAGGGACUGGCAAAUUGAAAGCUGCACGAAAAAGAGCAAUAACAGGUCUGUGAUGCCCUUCGAUGUCCGGGGCUGCACGCGCGCUACAAUGAAAGCGUCAACGUGAGUUACGUCCUAACCUGAAAAGGUUUGGCAAUCGAUUGAAACGUUUUCUUGAAUGGAAUAGGGAAUUGCAAUUGUUUCCCUUGAACGAGGAAUUCCCAGUAAGCGUGAGUCAUUAGCUCGCGUUGAUUACGUCCCCGCCCGUCGCUACUACCGAUUGGAUGAUUUAGUGAGGUGUUUUGACUGGCGCCAGUAGUCGGAUAUGUAUUCGGCUUCGCGCCGGGAAAUUUCCCAAACCAAAUCAUCUAGAGGAAGUAAAAGUCGUAACAAGGUUUCCGUAGGUGAACCUGCGGAAG